rnacentral:rRNA from 1 species
GCGGCGCGCCUAACACAUGCAAGUCGAACGGGGUAUGGAGAGCUUGCUUUUCAUACUUAGUGGCGGACGGGUGAGUAACACGUGAGCAACCUGCCUUUCAGAGGGGGACAACAGUUGGAAACGACUGCUAAUACCGCAUAACAUUGCGAGGAGGCAUCUCCAUGCAAUCAAAGAUUUAUCGCUGAAAGAUGGGCUCGCGUCUGAUUAGAUAGUUGGUGAGGUAACGGCCCACCAAGUCGACGAUCAGUAGCCGGACUGAGAGGUUGAACGGCCACAUUGGGACUGAGACACGGCCCAGACUCCUACGGGAGGCAGCAGUGGGGGAUAUUGGACAAUGGGGGCAACCCUGAUCCAGCGACGCCGCGUGAGGGAAGAAGGUUUUCGGAUUGUAAACCUCUGUUGACGGGGAAGAAAAUGACAGUACCCGUUUAGAAAGCCACGGCUAACUACGUGCCAGCAGCCGCGGUAAUACGUAGGUGGCAAGCGUUGUCCGGAAUUACUGGGUGUAAAGGGAGCGUACGCGGCGGUGCAAGUCAAAAGUGAAAAUCAUGGGCUCAACUCAUGACCUGCUUUUGAAACU